ensembl:lncRNA
AUCAUUUGCUCCUAAGUAACUAUCUCAGUAUGUAAUUAAAUCAAAGUCAGUCAGGUGCCAAUUUGAGCUUUUGCCUCACUCUAACAACGUCCUGCUCUCAGGAGCUAAACAAGACAGGACUGACCUGAAAUAACCCCACCGAGCUCUGACCCAGGGACUCUCCAGAGCAGUGGACGCUUUCUUCCCAGGAACCAACUGUGAGAUGCUAGCGCCUGACCCAUCUUCUUCCUCAACUCCACCUUGACUGGAGACUCUGCCUUGAGGAUCUUCCCAAAUCCACAGAAAGGAAUGAAUACUUUCUAGAGAAUGAAGAACAAAUGAACUCUGAAGACUGUCCUACCUUCGACAGUGUUCUGCGAGUUUUUACAAAAAUGACUACAAUUUGCCUGAACUUAGUGAGCACUGAGCUCUUGAAACAGAAUCUACCCAACAUUAAGAUUGGAGGACCAAUCUCCUGAGCUGGAAGAGAUCAUGAAAAUUUUCUCAGAAAAGAGCACUGGAUGGAGAAAAUAGGAGCUCCGAUGGCUUCUUUAUCACCUUACUCUGUGACUCUGGAUAAAAUUUCCAUAUUCAAUAUUUCUGUAAACAAAAUCAAUGAUGCUUGAUUAUGGUUGCCAAGAUAUUUGAAGGUUUUAUGAUGAUUUUCAUGAAAUGGGACGUUUCUGCCUAUUGUGGGAAUUGCAGUAUAGACCUACCAUCUCUGAGAAAAGUUGGACCACCUACCCCUGGUGGAAUGGUAUUGGCUUCGAAAGUCAAUAUUGGCUGGAAGUAUUUAAGCAGAAGUUACCCAAGAUACUACAGUGGAGCCAUGACAGAUGCAUUGGCUUCCUUAAAGCUUUGGGAGGAUCAUACCACGUGGAAGCAAUUUAUAGAUUCUAAAGAACUUUGCAAUUGGACAUCAUAUUCUGGAUUUACUGAAGUGAUCUCAGACCAGUACUACUCCACUGUGUAUAAAUCCUACACCUUGAAAUAACUUCAAGAAUCAACAAAUGGAAUCAUAUAAAAUUGAAAAACUUCUUUACAGCGGAGGAAACAACUCAGAGAGUGAGGAGACAACCUACAGAAUGGGAAAAAAAUUUUGACAGCUAUUCCACUGGUAGGGGACUAAUAUGUACAAUAUAGAAAUAACUCAAAAAAAUUAAGACUCCCUGAAGAAUAACAGACACAAUCAAAAAAUGAGUAACCUAAAUGAGUAGCCACUUCUCAGAAGAACCAAUAAAUACAUGAAGAAAUGCUCAGUGUCACAACUAUUAAAAAAUGCAAAUUAAACCACACUGAGAUUUCAUCUGACCCCAGAAAAAAUGGCCAUCAUCAAGAAUCAAACAAUAACAAAUAUUGGCAAGCCUGAGGAGGAAAUGGAACCUUUCUACAUUGUUGGUGGGAAUGAAAACCAGUACAAUCAUUUUGGAAAUCAGUAUGGAGAUUCUUCAAAAAAAUAGAAAUUUCAUUUUACCCAGCUAUUCUCCUUCCAGGUAUCUUCCUGAAAGUUUUGAAGACAUCAUAUUACAGUGAUAUAUGUUUAUCCAUGUACAUAGCAGCAAAAAUCCUCAUAGUUUACUCUUGGAAGCAGCCAAUAUGCCCAUCAACAGAUGCAUGGAUAAACAUUUUCUAUUCUUUCCAUUAACGUGAGAUGACCAUUAUUACUCUGUCCAUUGCCGAUUGGAUUAAUUUUGAUUAGCAGCUCUAUUUCCCCCUUUUCCAUGUCUCUAUUUGAGAGGAAUAUACUACUUAUUCAUUGAAGGGUGACUUACGACAGUAGAAGCAUGGAUUUACUGAAGAUGAAAGACCCACCAAGAGUGGUCCCAAUCAACAGUCUUGUAGCCUGAAUGAAAUAGGAAGGGGCAAGAGGAAAGAAGGCUCACUUCUGUUUCUUCAGAGGAACUCCAGUCUCUCACUUCACCUUGGAUGUCUGUCUCCUGACUUGCAGCACAAACUCUUCAGCCCCCUGAUACAGACUCACACAAGACUCUAUAGGGAGCUUCAGGACUUUGAUUUUUGACUGGCUCCUUUGGAACUCUAGUGCACAGACACCCCUUUUGCAUUCUUCUGCCUCUGACCCAGUAGGUGGCCAUUGUAAGCCUAUGUUGUAAAGAUAGAUAGAUAGAUGAUAGAUAGAUAGAUAGAUGACCAAAAACACACACAUACUUCAGAAAAAGAAAAAUAGUAUGAUGUUUUCUCAACAGACGGUGUUACCCUUAUAUGGGGGACCCUAGAGGAUGUUGUAUAUCACAGAAAACCCAUUACACUGCCGAUCCUUAGAGGAGAAAUUGAAAAUGCAUGUGUAGCAAUCUGAAUGACCACAGUUACCUAAGCAGCAGUUCGCCGUACGAAUAAAUAUCUUCAAGGUAAUCAUCACCACUUUGAGCACCUCUUGUAAUUGUAGAGGACAAAGGUAACU